AGUAACUGUCAAAAGAAGGAACGUUCCUGACCUCGGCCCAAGGGUAUCGCUGUGCUCUGGUUUGUAUUAGCUUCAGCACCGCUGCAAUCUCACUGAAGUUCCUGUAUCCAGCCUCAUGCUUUGCUGUGCCUGUAACUGUCUUCUCCCCACAGAUAACCUGUCAUUGAAGUACAUGAAGAAAAUAGUCAAAUAUGUGCCCAUGGGUUUUCCUGAGUACUUCCUACAGGGUAUGCAGUCCACUCUGAAGAUCACAGCCUAGGACCAUAAGUAUGCAGUGAAUAUCUUAAAGACAAUAAAGCUCUAUCCACAGAAUUCUGAGGAUGGAGCUGAUGCUGGAAAAUCAGUAUUCUCUUAGGCAAUGUUACAUCAUCUCCUUAUAACUAUGCUACAUGCUCUCAGUAUUAUUUAUAUCAUCUUUCCUUCCCUUCCACCCAACAGUCUCAUUUCAAGAGAUUUAACCUAAAAAGAUACAAGAACAGGUGCACAUAUAUAUAUGGACAAGGUUAUGCAUCACAGCAAUUUUUAAAACAGCAACAAAAAUAAUAGCAAUAUGGUUAAAUGUGUCAAUCAUGUAUUGGCCUAUAAAAGUAUGCUAUUUCAUUAGUCUAUAGACUAAUUGGGCUACAGACUAACCAUUAAAUGCUUUCCUUCAUGUGGCACUAUACUAAGUGUUAGGAAUUCAAUUGUGAAUAAGACAACAGACAUGG
rnacentral:lncRNA from 1 species